rnacentral:rRNA from 1 species
GGGUGGCGAGUGGCGCACGGGUGAGUAAUACAUCGGAACGUGUCCUGUUGUGGGGGAUAACUGCUCGAAAGGGUGGCUAAUACCGCAUGAGACCUGAGGGUGAAAGCGGGGGAUCGCAAGACCUCGCGCAAUUGGAGCGGCCGAUGCCCGAUUAGCUAGUUGGUGAGGUAAAGGCUCACCAAGGCGACGAUCGGUAGCUGGUCUGAGAGGACGACCAGCCACACUGGGACUGAGACACGGCCCAGACUCC